AUGUACCGGCAUCGCCUUGUGGCAGCAGACAUGUAUAACAUGGAGAGGCUCAAGUUGAUGUGCAAAAACAAGUUGUGCAAGAGAAUCGAUGUGAGCACUGUGGCCAACGUGUUAGCAUUGGCUGAGCUUCACCACUGCCGUGAUCUCAAGGGUGCGUGCUUCGAAUUUCUCAGCACUCCUCAAAAUCUAAGCGAGGCCAUGGCCACUGACGACUUCGAGUAUCUGAGCAAAAGCUGCCCUUGUGUUGUCAAGGGGCUGAUUACCCUGUGCUCUGCACCCUAG
rnacentral:rRNA from 1 species